rnacentral:rRNA from 1 species
UACGUAGGGUGCAAGCGUUAAUCGGAAUUACUGGGCGUAAAGCGUGCGCAGGCGGUUUUGUAAGUCUGUCGUGAAAGCCCCGGGCUCAACCUGGGAAUUGCGAUGGAGACUGCAAGGCUUGAAUCUGGCAGAGGGGGGUAGAAUUCCACGUGUAGCAGUGAAAUGCGUAGAGAUGUGGAGGAACACCGAUGGCGAAGGCAGCCCCCUUGGUGAAGAUUGACGCUCAUGCACGAAAGCGUGGGGAGCAAACAGG